CACGUAGGGGACGAGCGUUGUCCGGAUUCAUUGGGCGUAAAGCGCGCGUAGGCGGCUCGGAAAGUCGGUCGUGAAAUGCCGGGGCUCAACCCCGGGACUGCGUCCGAUACUCCCGAGCUGGAGGCAGGUAGGGGAGAUCGGAAUUCCUGGUGUAGCGGUGAAAUGCGCAGAUAUCAGGAGGAACACCAGCGGCGAAGGCGGCGCUCUGGGCCGGAACUGACGCUGAGGAGCGAAAGCGUGGGUAGCAAACAGG
rnacentral:rRNA from 1 species